UGCAACAAAAAUGUUUUUUGGCCGACCUCCCACCUGAUUACAUUCUCAGUGAUGACGACCAAUCGUCAAGUUCAUCUGAUCUAUCCCUCCACAGUGAUCGGUCAAAAGGACAAAUAAUUAAUUUUAGAAAAUCUGAAAAAAGCAACCCAGUCCUGGAUCAAAUGUGGCAACGUCUGCAGAAACAGAGGGAACGUCUUCGAGUCCGAGAACAAAGUUUUUUGGCCGACCUCCCACCUCAUCAUGUGUCUCUUGUUGCAGGGAUCAAAAAAGGCAGCGCCUGCAGCAACUGAGGGAACGUCUUUGAGUCCGAGAACAAAGUUUUUUGGCUGACCUCCCACCUCAUCAGGAUCAAACAUGGUCCUUCUCCCACCUGAUUGGAUGGUGGAGAUGAAGGAGAAAGAGGAGGAUGAAGAGGAAGAGGAUGAAGAGGAGACCAAAUCAGUGAUCUAAAAGUCUGCACUUUGUGUCUGGACUUUGGGCUGACUGGUUGUUUGAAAACCAUGUUGAGUAUAAUGAUCUGUAGCUCUUUUUGUGACAGCUUGAUUUGGAUACUUAUGGAUAAAACAAAUGUAAAUGAUAAGAUUUGUUAGUGACAUAAGAUGAUGAAGUCAACUCAGCCUUAAAAACAACUGUUGUUUUCUAUUA